rnacentral:tRNA from 1 species
CGUUGCGUAGCGUAGUGGUAGCGCGUUGUGGUUGACAGCAGCACGUCGUGGGUUCGAUCCCCUCAGCACCCC